rnacentral:rRNA from 1 species
GGCGAACGCUGGCGGCAGGCCUCACACAUGCAAGUCGAACGAAGCCUUCGGGCUUAGUGGCGGACGGGUGAGUAACACGUGGGAACGUACCUUUUGGUUCGGAACAACUCAGGGAAACUUGAGCUAAUACCGGAUGAGCCCUUAGGGGGAAAGAUUUAUCGCCGAAAGAGCGGCCCGCGUUAGAUUAGCUAGUUGGUGAGGUAAAGGCUCACCAAGGCUACGAUCUAUAGCUGGUCUGAGAGGAUGAUCAGCCACACUGGGACUGAGACACGGCCCAGACUCCUACGGGAGGCAGCAGUGGGGAAUCUUGCGCAAUGGGCGAAAGCCUGACGCAGCCAUGCCGCGUGAAUGAUGAAGGUCUUAGGAUUGUAAAAUUCUUUUACCAGGGACGAUAAUGACGGUACCUGGAGAAAAAGCCCCGGCUAACUUCGUGCCAGCCGCCGCCGUAAUAC